AAUUACCUCAGAAACCCAAGCUUUUUACUUUAUCUCUUUUUACGUUUCUUCCUUCUGUGUAAUGUAGGUUUUUAAAGUAGAUUUAUAUGUCGCAGUUGAAUCAGAAAGAUGAUUUAGAGGAGUAGAAGAAGAAGGUUUUUAGGGCUUUCGUGUAUUUUAUGGCAGAUAAGUUAACAUCAACAAGACCUAAGGGCAGAAAAUUAGGAAGUAGUUAAUCAAAAUUGAAAUAAGAUCAGUUUUUAUAUAAAGUGAAAAAAGUGCAAAAGAUGACAGUGGUUUGACUGUAUGGCUUGGAAGGUUUGCAGUGGACAUGCAAUUGCUCUCCAGCUGACAAGGGACUUUUAAAGGUGGUUUCUAGAUUGGAUUCUGGAUGUUGAGGACUAUGGGAUAUAUUACACUACCUUUAUCUCAUGAAUUUGGAUUGUAAUAAUUAGAGAUGGUUAAGGUAGAGGAAUUAAUCUUUACGGAGAUGAUUGCGACAAUGAGAUCAUGGUUGGGAAGACGUGGAAAUUUCAAAGGUGUGUUCAUAUACAUAACCAAGUUCAAUAUUGAUAAAUCAAAGCACAGAUGGGAAGAGAUGAUUGAAUGGAGGAAGGGAUUUGAUGCUGACACUGUUAGUGAGGAGAAAUACUCUAAGAUAAGAGGGUCAAUGGAGGAGCAUUCACGGGUACUGACGGUUUCUAGUUCCUAUUCAAUCUGAUACCUAUAUCAGGCAUCACUCUCGGUUAUGACUCACAAGCUAUCACCACCACUUUGAAAAGCGAAAGAUAAAUAAAGAUAAUAUACUGUAUGGGACUGGCCCGCCAAUUUCUGACUCACAAGCUAUCACCACCAAUUUGAAAAGUGA